GACGAACGCUGGCGGCGUGCUUAACACAUGCAAGUCGAGCGGUAAGGCCCUUUCGGGGGUACACGAGCGGCGAACGGGUGAGUAACACGUGGGUGACCUGCCCUCAGCUCUGGGAUAAGCCUGGGAAACUGGGUCUAAUACCGGAUAUGACUCCAUGACGCAUGUUGUGGGGUGGAAAGCCUUGUGCGGCUGAGGAUGGGCCCGCGGCCUAUCAGCUUGUUGGUGGGGUGANGGCCUACCAAGGCGACGACGGGUAGCCGGCCUGAGAGGGCGACCGGCCACACUGGGACUGAGACACGGCCCAGACUCCUACGGGAGGCAGCAGUGGGGAAUAUUGGACAAUGGGCGAAAGCCUGAUCCAGCCAUGCCGCGUGAGUGAUGAAGGCCCUAGGGU
rnacentral:rRNA from 1 species